GGGUUGUGAGGUUAAGCGACUAAGCGUACACGGUGGAUGCCCUGGCAGUCAGAGGCGAUGAAGGACGUGCUAAUCUGCGAUAAGCGCCGGUAAGGUGAUAUGAACCGUUAUAACCGGCGAUUUCCGAAUGGGGAAACCCAGUGUGACUCGUCACACUAUCAUUAACUGAAUCCAUAGGUUAAUGAGGCGAACCGGGGGAACUGAAACAUCUAAGUACCCCGAGGAAAAGAAAUCAACCGAGAUUCCCCCAGUAGCGGCGAGCGAACGGGGAGGAGCCCAGAGCCUGAAUCAGCAUGUGUGUUAGUGGAAGCGUCUGGAAAGGCGCGCGAUACAGGGUGACAGCCCCGUACACAAAAGCGCAUGUGCUGUGAGCUCGAUGAGUAGGGCGGGACACGUGGUAUCCUGUCUGAAUAUGGGGGGACCAUCCUCCAAGGCUAAAUACUCCUGACUGACCGAUAGUGAACCAGUACCGUGAGGGAAAGGCGAAAAGAACCCCGGCGAGGGGAGUGAAAAAGAACCUGAAACCGUGUACGUACAAGCAGUGGGAGCCCCACCACUAAGCCAGUGGUGAACUCCACAUA
rnacentral:rRNA from 1 species